rnacentral:lncRNA from 10 species
GCUCAUCCGCCGCUCACCUCCUGCUGUGCAGCACACUUCCUCACACGCCACAGAUGGGUACCAGUCUGUGGCCUGGGGUUUGGAGACCCCUGAUUUAUGGUAAGUUAGUGAACAAUAAUGCCACCUCCUCAGAGGCACUAUAUAGUUCUUAACAAAGGAAUGAAGCGAAAGGUCAGGGAAAGAAAAGCAAAACUACUCUCGUGAUUAAAUUUCAUACCUAAAAAGUCCACAAGAAGAAAAGUUUUCAUUUCUCCCUAAUCCAUCCUUCAAUCUUGAGUAUCAACAUUUUGAAUAAUUUCUGCUGAGCACUAUAUAUCUGGGUUUGGCUGAAGUAUAAACAAAUCAGGAAGACCAAGUUUCCCAAUUGCACUAGAAUUUUAAUACAUGUCUGGUCACGUCUCUGACAAUUCCUGGUUUUGCCUUGGGAAUUACUAGGGGAAAUGCCAAAGCUAAGUAAGUUCUACAAAUCAACACAAAAGUGGCAUACGUCAUUCGCCCCAGGGCCAUUAGUUUAUGUAACCUUGUAAAACCGAGUUUGUAAUACCUAUAACGUAAGGGUAACAGUACCAACCUCUUUCAUAACUGAAGAAGCCGCAAAGAAAUACUCAGGAUACAGAAACAUAUAUACAGACGCACACAUACAUAAAAUCAAACUUUUUUACUCAAAAAGCAGAUUCUCCCAGACUAAACUCAUUUCUAAACGGAGUUUCACUCUUGUUACCCAGGCCAGAGUGCAAUGGCACGAACUUGGCUCACUGCAACCUCCGCCUCCCAGGUUCAAGCGAUUCUCCCACCUUGGCCUCCCAAGUAGCGGGGAUUACAGGCACCAGCCACCAUGCCCGGGUAAUUUCUGUAUUUUUUUUAGUAGAGAUGGGGUUUCACCAUGUUGGUCAGGCUGGUCUGGAACUCCUGACCUCAGGUGAUCCACUCGUCUCGGCCUCCCAAAGUGCUGGGAUUACAGGUGUGAGCCACCGCGCCCGGCCUAAACUCAUUUCUUGAAUGUACUCCUAUAUCAGGGUAUGGAGUCCUUGAAACUCAUUUAAUGAAAUGUUUACUCUGUGCAGAGAAUACUGGGUAGGUAUCUAGGUUCAAAAUAUAUUUCAUAUUUUAAGGAUGUUAUCAUCUAAGACACAGGAAACUAUAUAUGUGUGGUCUAUAAAACCAUAUAUAGCGUUACUAAGAAUAAAACUUUGAGGGAAACAAAGACAUGAAGGCCAGUUUCUACCAACCUUCCACUUUGACCAGGGAAACCAGGAGACUGCACAUAGAGGCCUAUUUGACUGUGUUCAUCAACAGAAAUGAACAGAUUGCAAGAUAAGCAAAACAGGCUCUAGAAAGAAGCAGCCAAUGAACAGCUAAUUUAUAAUUAAAAGGAAGAAAAGCAGCUGCACCUUGGGAGCUCGGAAUUUAGUCACUACCAAGACCCAGGGCCACUGCUCAGAGACAAAAGGUAAACACGCUCAUUGUAGUCAAGAUGUAUCGGAAUCACAGACUUGGAAUCUUAGAGCUGAAAGGGGCUUGAGAGCCCACCCAGACCUGCUCACGCUGUAGGAAGGCGGAAACUGAGGCUCAGGGAAAUGAAAUGGCUUGCCAAAGAUUAAGGCUAGAAACGUCCAGCCAAGGGCUCUUUCACAACUCCUAUCCCUGAAAUAUCCCAUAACGGCCAGAUAGGUCAUGGGGUAUUAACCAACAAAGAGAUCCAGCAUAACUGCUUCUUGAAAUACAAAUCACUCAGACUCCCAGGUUCCAUCAGGAAAUAGCAAAACAUGAGAGGGAAAGGACUGGUAAUGCCAUGUUACCAGUCAGAGGUUCCAUCAGAAAAGAACCACUAGGAAUGAUGUAGAAAGAGAGGAUUGUGAAAGCGGUUUGAGCAAUUAGAGGGGCUGGUGAAAGUCUCGGUUCGGCUGUUUCUUCUUCACCAGACCACAGGCAGAGUUCUGCGGGAGUGGGAGGAGCCGUGGGCCCAGCGGCUGCCCACACCACAAGUGCAGGAGAUCCAUGGUAACGUGCACGUGAUGGAACAGGGCCUGACCUACAUCCACUUCCAGUGAAUACACAUGGCUGUUGCUCUACUUCCACUUCCAAACCUCAUGCAAAUCUCUCUCGUGGCCAACCCUCACCAGAGAAACAAACAAGGAAGGGAAUUCUGGGAACACAGUUCAGUUUAGCCAAGUUCACGACACUGCAGAAACCACAACAUGCCAUCAAAAUAUUAAACUAACUAGAAUUCUUUCCGGGAGUAUUGAAUUUGCCUAUUGUUCUUCUGCCAUACUUCUCCGCUUCCACCCAGUAAUAAGUAGCCUAUCACCUACUCAGGACCCCAGUCUAAGUGAACCCCAUGUUUUGUCUAACUUCUACUUUAGAAGUAGACACAGUUGGCUGGAGAGCUGGCUGACUGCGUGGUUUGUUUGUGCUGCACUAGGUCUGCCAUCCUGCCCUGUGCCAGCCACUAACAGCUGCAGCAGUGGAAAGGCUCGGCCCUCGCAGGCUUGAACUGCCACCCACUCUGUGCUUUCAUGUGUCACCUGUAUUAAGUGCAGUGAGGAUAAUGGCACCUAAGCUAUUUUUGUAGCUCUGUAAACAGCCCUUCAUUCCUCGAAGCUACAAACAUAUCCCUGUGUUCAGAACCAGGUUCUGUAUACUCCAGAAGAAAGACAAUGAUGGUGAUGUCUUAAAUAUACCACUUUUUGUCAAUCUAGGUGAAAGAAAUAUGAAUAUUCAUUGUAUUAUUCUUUUGAAUUUGAAAAUGUAAAAUUAAUUAAUUUUUUUUAAUUAGCUGGAUUUGGUGGCACACACCUGUAAUCCCAGCUACUCA